rnacentral:rRNA from 1 species
GACAGAGGAUGCGAACGUUGCUCGGAUUUACUGGGCGUAAAGCGCGUGUAGGCGGUCUUGUAAGUCGGGUGUGAAAGCCCGGGGCUCAACCCCGGAAGUGCACCCGAUACUGCGAGACUGGGGUACUGAAGAGGAGAGCGGAAUUCCCGGUGUAGAGGUGAAAUUCGUAGAUAUCGGGAGGAACACCAGUGGCGAAGGCGGCUCUCUGGGCAGAUACCGACGCUGAGACGCGAAAGCGUGGGGAGCAAACAGG